UAAUGCAUAGGAAUCUGCCCGGUAGUGGGGGAUAACCUGGGGAAACCCAGGCUAAUACCGCAUACGUCCUACGGGAGAAAGGGGGCUCCGGCUCCCGCUAUCGGAUGAGCCUAUGUCGGAUUAGCUAGUUGGUGAGGUAACGGCUCACCAAGGCCACGAUCCGUAGCUGGUCUGAGAGGAUGAUCAGCCACAUCGGGACUGAGACACGGCCCGAACUCCUACGGGAGGCAGCAGUGGGGAAUAUUGGACAAUGGGGGGAACCCUGAUCCAGCCAUGCCGCGUGUGUGAAGAAGGCCCUCGGGUUGUAAAGCACUUUCAGCGAGGAAGAACGCCUAGCGGUUAAUACCCGCUAGGAAAGACAUCACUCGCAGAAGAAGCACCGGCUAACUCCGUGCCAGCAGCCGCGGUAAUACGGAGGGUGCAAGCGUUAAUCGGAAUUACUGGGCGUAAAGCGCGCGUAGGUGGCUUGAUAAGCCGGUUGUGAAAGCCCCGGGCUCAACCUGGGAACGGCAUCCGGAACUGUCAAGCUAGAGUGCAGGAGAGGAAGGUAGAAUUCCCGGUGUAGCGGUGAAAUGCGUAUAGAUCGGGAGGAAUACCAGUGGCGAAGGCGGCCUUCUGGACUGACACUGACACUGA
rnacentral:rRNA from 1 species